rnacentral:rRNA from 1 species
AUUGAACGCUGGCGGCAGGCUUAACACAUGCAAGUCGAGCGGGGGAAGGUAGCUUGCUACCGGACCUAGCGGCGGACGGGUGAGUAAUGCUUAGGAAUCUGCCUAUUAGUGGGGGACAACAUCUCGAAAGGGAUGCUAAUACCGCAUACGUCCUACGGGAGAAAGCAGGGGAUCUUCGGACCUUGCGCUAAUAGAUGAGCCUAAGUCGGAUUAGCUAGUUGGUGGGGUAAAGGCCUACCAAGGCGACGAUCUGUAGCGGGUCUGAGAGGAUGAUCCGCCACACUGGGACUGAGACACGGCCCAGACUCCUACGGGAGGCAGCAGUGGGGAAUAUUGGACAAUAGGGGGAACCCUGAUCCAGCCAUGCCGCGUGUGUGAAGAAGGUCUUAUGGUUGUAAAGCACUUUAAGCGAGGAGGAGGCUACUUUAGUUAAUACCUAGAGAUAGUGGACGUUACUCGCAGAAUAAGCACCGGCUAACUCUGUG